rnacentral:rRNA from 1 species
UACAGAGACUGCAAGCGUUAUUCGGAUUCACUGGGCGUAAAGGGUGCGUAGGUGGCUAGGUAAGUCGGAUGUGAAAUCCCGGGGCUCAACCCCGGAACUGCAUUCGAUACUGCCUGGCUAGAGUACUGGAGAGGAGAUUGGAAUUUACGGUGUAGCAGUGAAAUGCGUAGAUAUCGUAAGGAAGACCGGUGGCGAAGGCGGAUCUCUGGACAGUUACUGACACUGAGGCACGAAGGCCAGGGGAGCAAACGGG